rnacentral:rRNA from 1 species
AGAGUUUGAUCCUGGCUCAGAAUGAACGCUGGCGGCGUGCUUAACACAUGCAAGUCGCACGAGAACUCUUCUGCUUGCAGAAGAUAGUAAAGUGGCGCACGGGUGAGUAACGCGUGGGUAAUCUACCUCCGAAUCGGGGAUAACCCGCCGAAAGGCGAGCUAAUACCGGAUAAUAUCUUUGAAACAUCGGUUUUUUAGAUCAAAGGUGGCCUCUACAUGUAAGCUACUGUUUGGAGAUGAGCCCGCGUACCAUUAGCUUGUUGGUAGGGUAAUGGCCUACCAAGGCUUCGAUGGUUAGCUGGUCUGAGAGGAUGAUCAGCCACACUGGAACUGACACACGGUCCAGACUCCUACGGGAGGCAGCAGUGAGGAAUUUUGCGCAAUGGGGGAAACCCUGACGCAGCAACGCCGCGUGAGUGAUGAAGGCCCUCGGGUCGUAAAGCUCUGUCGAGUGGGAAGAACUUGAUGGAUGAUAAUACCAUCCUUCACUGACGGUACCACUAAAGGAAGCACCGGCUAACUCCGUGCCAGCAGCCGCGGUAAUACCGGAGGGUGCAAGCGUUAUUCGGAUUUAUUGGGCGUAAAGGGCGCGUAGGCGGUCUCUUAAGUCAGAUGUGAAAGCCCGGGGCUUAACCUCGGAAGUGCAUUUGAAACUAAGGGACUUGAGUAUGGGAGAGGGAAGUGGA